rnacentral:rRNA from 1 species
GAUCAUGGCUCAGAUUGAACGCUGGCGGCAGGCCUAAUACAUGCAAGUCGAACGGUAACAGAAAGCAGCUUGCUGCUUUGCUGACGAGUGGCGGACGGGUGAGUAAUGUCUGGGAAACUGCCCGAUGGAGGGGGGAGUAACUACUGGAAACGGUAGCUAAUACCGCAUAACGUCGCAAGACCAAAGAGGGGGACCGUUCGGGUCCGUCCUUGCCACUCGGAUGUGCCCACGAUGGGAGUUAGCUAGUAGGG